AUGCUUAGUGGCGGACUGGUGAGUAACGCGUGAGGAACCUGCCUUUCAGAGGGGGACAACAGCUGGAAACGGCUGCUAAUACCGCAUGACGCAUUCGGAUGGCAUCAUCUGAAUGCCAAAGAUUUAUCGCUGAAAGAUGGCCUCGCGUCUGAUUAGAUAGUUGGCGGGGUAACGGCCCACCAAGUCGACGAUCAGUAGCCGGACUGAGAGGUUGACCGGCCACAUUGGGACUGAGAUACGGCCCAGACUCC
rnacentral:rRNA from 1 species